rnacentral:rRNA from 1 species
UACGGAAGGCAGCAGUGGGGAAUAUUGCACAAUGGGCGCAAGCCUGAUGCAGCCAUGCCGCGUGUAUGAAGAAGGCCUUCGGGUUGUAAAGUACUUUCAGUCGUGAGGAAGGUGUUAAGGUUAAUAACCUUAGCAAUUGACGUUAGCGACAGAAGAAGCACCGGCUAACUCCGUGCCAGCAGCCGCGGUAAUACGGAGGGUGCGAGCGUUAAUCGGAAUUACUGGGCGUAAAGGGCACGCAGGCGGUUAAUUAAGUUGGAUGUGAAAUCCCCGGGCUUAACCUGGGAAUGGCAUUCAAGACUGGUUAGCUAGAGUCUUGUAGAGGGGGUAGAAUUCCGAUGUGUAGCGGUGAAAUGCGUAGAGAUGUGGAGGAAUACCGGUGGCGAAGGCGGCCCCUGGACAAGACUGACGCUCAUGUGCGAAAGCGUGGGGAGCAAACAGGGAUUAGAUACC